rnacentral:rRNA from 1 species
GACGAAGGGGGCUAGCGUUGUUCGGAAUUACUGGGCGUAAAGCGCGUGUAGGCGGUUGCCCAAGUCGGGUGUGAAAGCCUUGAGCUCAACUCAAGAAAUGCACUCGGUACUGGGUGACUAGAGGACCGGAGAGGUGAGUGGAAUUCCCAGUGUAGCGGUGAAAUGCGUAGAUAUUGGGAGGAACACCAGUGGCGAAGGCGGCUCACUGGACCGGAACUGACGCUGAGGCGCGAAAGCGUGGGGAGCAAACAGG